rnacentral:rRNA from 1 species
AUGCUACUGUUUCUGUCAAAGAUCAGGCGGCUUUCUGUCCGUGAAGAUAACGGCAACGCUAGAGGCAGCACUGUUAGUGAGAUUGCAAUAUCGAGUGAGAAGAACUUUGAAGUGAGGAAGAACAUGCACGCGGAGUCUUACACGGUCUUUUUAUCUGCUCAAGAGAACGAGAGUGAAGCAGAGUGCGGGUACCAUAUGUGGAGGCAGAGGUUCCCUGUCAAGGCAGAGAACAGGGUGGACAAGCGUACUGAAAUCGAUGAGUGGGUCAUCACCCUAGCCUUCCCUCUUAAGGAGCGACUAUCCCGUGGGAAGCAGCUAUCCCCUGGCGUAUAUGCUUUCCUUCCCACGAAGAUGGUAACGAACUUCCCCUUCAUCAUUCAGGCUGACUUCCUCCUUGCAUCAUCAAGAGAGGCAAUACUGUUCGAUAGUCCAUGGAACAAGGGAAUUCUGGAGUGCAUCCCAAGUGCUUUCAUGAAUGCUUUUGUAGCACUUGUCAAGUCCAGAGCAGAUGCGCCAGCAAUGUCGAUUCCGUCGAUGUUCCAUUACCUGCCAGUCAGUCCUUCGCUGAUCCCUUUACUUGAGCCUGUUAGGUCUGGCAUCAAAGAGAAGGUUCUCGUCGAGGAUAUAGUUCCAUGUGAGUCUCAAACUCCACACAAGAUGUUUUGCAAGCCUUGCGAGGUUGCGCGGCUCAAACCAGCAUUUUGGGAUAUCCUUGUCAAGGCGAGAGAAUCUGGAGUGGACCUUAAGAACCUGUCAACCCAUGGAACCUACAUUCUGAGUUCCCAUUUUGACAAGAGUGCAUAG